CCUGAGCAGCAGCCCUGGUGGCAGCAUGAUGUGGGGACACAUGGCCAGGCAGGGCCCGUUAUGAGAAGAGAGCAGAAACCUUGGCUUUUUCCACCUAGCAGCCAAAGAUGGGGAGAGAGAGGAGCUAUUUAAGCUAGAGGAGGGAACAGAUAUACAGAAAAGGUGGAAAUAAUGUAGGAAUUAAAGCAGGUUUCUAACAGCUGGGGUCUUCAAGGUCUGGGACUGCACUUCCUGAUGAGGCAGCAGUAACUGAAAUGCUCAUUGAGGGCUCAGCUCUUGCAUUCACACAAGAAUCUAUCCCAUGGGUGCAGCAGGAGGGCCCAGGUUGGCCCAUUUGUCCUCAGCCUCUGGUUUGGCAGAGCUCAGGCACCAAGCCAGCCAUCUGUACAGCAGCACCGCCCCAGAGACACGUCCCAAAGUGUGGGAGGAACAAACAUCCCCAAGAGAGAACACUAUUUUUGGGCUACGGUCCUUCCAAGUCCUAGCAAAGCCAUGAAAAAUGCUACAAUUUUGGAGGAAGGCAGGAGAGGCCAUGCCAAGUCAGUGCAUCUCCCACACGUGGGACAACAUGAAGUCAAGGCAUGGCAAAGGCUGCGUGUUCCCAGCCCUGAGCCAGCCCCAGUUCUAUGAAGCAAUAUUUCACUUGCGUUCUCAGGAGCAUCCAGAAUCAGCCAGCCUGGCUGCAUGCAGGCACGUAAGAGUCCUUUGUGUUAUACAACAGCAUUUUCACUGCCAUUCACUGUUACUGGAGAUUGUCUGCUCAGGACAGCAACAACAUUGAGCUUCCCAGGCAAGGAAACAAAACCCAUCACUUGUGGAUGAUCGCUGAUGGCCAUGGCUCAGAUCCCCUCACUGCCACUGCAGGAACCUUCCGCACCUCCCGUCAAAGGCUGGGCAGUGCAACCUCAUUUGGCAUCUCAGAGAAGUCAGAGGUGCUGUGCAGGCUGUCCUCGGUGUCUGAGAUGAGUGCAUGCACCACGGGGAUCACAGCAGCACUGCCAGGUGCUCACCCAGCCUCCCAGCUCAAGGAAGCACCCACACUCAGCUCUCCCUGGACUGAGACCCACUUAAACACUGACAUUGUUUCCUGGGCAGACCCAUCGAGAAAGGAAAUAUAAAAGCCAUGUUUAAUAUUUUUAAAUUGCUUUCCCUUUUUUUUUUUUUUUAAUGCAUCUGAUGUUGUGAGACUUGCUGAAAUGGGAUUUAAUUUCCUGAAUGUAGCAGUCCCAUGUUGUGUCUGGAUGCAGAUCCACAUAGGAGGCAAGCAGCCCAGGAUGGCAGGGACAUGAAUCCUCGAUUUUGGGCUAAGCCUUGUGGUGUCUGUCAUUUUUCAGCUGGUUGUUUUAUCUCUCUGUACUCUGGGAAGGGUAUCUUGACACAGACAGUUUGCAGAGCCAUUUCAGCUGUUCAGACAGCUCAGCCACAAUAUGUUGCCUCAAAUUGUUCUGUCAAGCACAUGCAUCAGCUGUAUUUGCUUGCCUUGAAGCUGUGAAAACCAGAGACCCUCCUGAGAAAAUUUAGCUUCUACAUAGAAAUAAAGAGGUUGACAACGCUCUCAAAUGAACAAAUGCCACACAAGGCAAUGAGCUGCAAACCUGCCAUGGCCUGUGAAGCUCUUUGGAUUUUGGAUUGUAUCAUUAGCUACUGCAGUCCCAAAGCCUUGACAUCUAGAAGCUGCAGCCAGAAGGGCUGUGCUGUCCUUCCAAGAGCUGGGCACUGCCUGGAGCUGCCAUGGCUCAGGGAUGGGUGCUGAGAUCCACGGGGGCCCAGGGUGCCAGAGCGAGGCAGGGACACACAGCAGGGCACAGUCAAACCUCCAGUCAGGGCUGAUGGGAUCUUUCUGUGGCUGCUCAUGGGGGAGGGCAGUGGCAGGGGCUGGUUUUGGCUGGCACAUGCCCUGGGGGACACAGAUCUGGUCAGUGUAGCAGCACUGGGCCGUGGUCAUGAUGCCAAGAGGCACAAGGUGAUGUUGCCCCUCAGUCUCACCAGAGCCAACGAUGGAGCAAAGCUGUGACACGUCUCUGCUUCACAGUACAGAAAGAACAAGACUUCUUUUUCUUAAUGUGACAGAGAUAUUAUCCCCUCUAUUUAAUUUUCGUGCACUAAAUACCAAAUUCUGGCGGCACCGAUGCUGCACCUGCUUUCCAUGUCCUCUGCAUCCAAGCACAGAUGCUGACACCCAGUGGCCAUGGGAUUUCUAGCGCCUGCACAAGAUGGAAAAUUUCAGCAGAGAUGCCUCAGCUGGUAAGAUACAACACCCACCUUUUCAUUUCCUCAAGUGCACAAGGAGUAAAGAGCUCCUGAGAGAUCACAGAGUGGGUAAGUCUGGAAGGGAACACUGGAACUCAUCUUGUUCAAACCCCUCUCAAGCAGGGUCCCCGAGGGCGCUUUAGUCAUGAUUGUGUCCAGGCAGCCUUUGAGUGUCUCCAGAGGAGACUCCACAACAUCUCUGGGCAGCCUGUUCCAGUGCUCUCUCUCCCUUGCAGUGGAGUUCCUCCUCAUAUUCAGGUGGAAAUUCCUAUGUUCCAAGAUUCCAGCCUUGCUUUGUGUCUUGCAGCCACUGGCAAGUUAUAGUGGUUGAAACACUUGUACUGAGAGGCCACUCAGAAAAAUUAAAAAAUAUGAGGAUGGAUAUGUUUUUCAAAUUAUUCUCUUGCUGGCAGCUUGAAAAUAUACCUCAGUGAGAGAAGAAGGGUGAUUUUUGAGUUCAGGGACCUUGGCUUUCGUCUUCCCUGUUUUGCUGCUUCCCAAAAGCAGUUAGAAUAUGACAGACUAAAUGGAUUUUGCAUUUCCCUGCAGCAUGCACUGGAUCAUGCUUUUGUAUGUGUGACAAGUAUUGACAUUCUCUAGAGAGAAAAAAGCUGUGUAGGAAAAGUUGGAUUUAUUCUUCAACAAAUGGCUCUAAGACUUUAUCAGUGAAAGACAGAAAGAAGGCUCUAAACUCAUGGGUAUGCAAAGACAAAGACACGUCUCACCAAACAUGUGGAGCUUAGUUGGUAAAAAUACGUGGAACCCAGACAUGAACUGGGAACAAUAAGAGCAGAGGAGGGAUUUUAAAAGUGCUUUACUAAAAAUAUUAAUUAUGGACUACAGAAAAUGAAUUAAAACACUCUAAUGAGACUACUGUGUGAAAGAAAUACAUUGGUGUAAUUCUAAAAACAUGGGAUAAAAAAGCCACUAGUGAAAUUCUAGUGAGGUUCAGGAUGUUAGGAAGGUGAGUGGCCAUCUAUUAGGGCUGAAUUUUGCAAAUGCUUCAGAUGUGAUACUGUGAGAAAGCAGGUGUUCUGCUGCUGCUGCACUGAGGAUCCUGUGCAGGGGGGAGUUUGGGGAGGAGGGAGCCCUGCACAGGGGCCAAGCCCAGCUUUCCUCACCUAAAUGCUCCUGUAAAGCUGCAGCGUACAGAUACCAUAAGUAGAUGUACUUAAUUUAUCACUCUGUUACUAGGCAGGUUUCUAGGCAGGCUUCAGCCUAACUUUUAUAUUUUGUGGUUACUGAAAUAGCUCUGAUCUUUUUUUGGGGUGAGUUCUAGCUGUGGAGGUACAACAGCCUGCCCUACUUUUUCCCUUGGGGACAUUCACAAUGCACUCACGUGUUUUUAGUAGACAUUUUAACUGUUGGAGAGUCUGGCAGAACAUCAGAGGCCUGAAAAUCCAUGCCCAGUGCAUGCUCACUGGGUAUUUUUCAAAGUAAAGCCAUCCCAUGGUGGCUGCCCAGGAGACAGUAGAGACAGUGGUUGCGUCUCAGCAGAAUUACAACAACCAUGAAACUUCUUUUCUGCUUCAGUCUGUGCUUCAGUCAGUUCUUUCCUCCUUAGGUUCCUCCCCAAAUGACAUUGGGCUGUUGCCCAUUUAGCAGUGGAAGCAGCUGAUAGUGAUUGAACAAUUUUGCAGUUGGAUGUGUGAGACAGCACUUGCUGCAUUGUUUCUGAUUGGAUUAGUAUGGCUCUUUACAUGGCUGAUUGACACAAACUAGAUCUUCUCUCUGAGCUUCCACUGCUCAUUAGAAAUUCCCACUUUGAAUAAAUACUCCUUCAAGAAAACUCAUUUUCAGGAUUGUUCUGAUGAAAUGAAGCCACACUAAACCCCUGUGUUUUCCUUGGUUAGUUCUUCAAGCUAAAAGAACCCAGAAUGGGCUUGGAAAAGAAUAACUCAGCCAGUGACACUUCUAAAUUUUUUUUUUCUAUCACCAUCAUCAUAGAGAAUGAUUCCUAAAAAAUCAGUCAGCAAUUUCCUCACCUGACUACACAUGGUAUUGAGGAACAUCAGGUUGAAUUCUGGUGCCAAUGUCUACUUCCUAGAGAAAUUCCCAUAUCACAUUUGCUGGAGUGACCCUCACUUCUCUGAAUCAUCUGUCCUUUGCAGUAGCUGUGGUCAGGCUUCUUUAUAGCAAAAGUUUCUCUCAAGGCCUCUCCACCUGAGCUUUUCAACAGGUAAGACAUAUCAGCUGAUGAAAUAAAUAGCUCAGCUGGGCAUUUGGGAACAGGGGAGACUUGGUGAGAGUAAGGUGGGGCACAGGGGCUGGAUAGAAGUGUUUGCAUGCACACACAUUGUGUGUGAGGUGCUGCCCUUCACUGUGUGUGUCCUGCUGACAGAUUUCUGGAGUCCUUACAAAAGAAAAAACCCAAACAAGCCCACAGAACAACGUGGUUAUCUUUAUUCAUGAAAGUUUCCACUGCCUCUUUUUUCUCCCUUGUCCUGUUACCAGAAACACCUUGCUUCAGAGUCAGUUUGGAUCUCUUCUGGUUUUCCUGCAGUCAUUUUAAGCCCCUCCAGUUUUCCUAAGCCCGUUAAGGACUGGGAUUGCAACACCUGCCUUCACAAGUGGCAGCAGGCAGGGAAGGCCCAGCUGGGCUGCAGUAAGCUCAGGGCUCCUUGGCUGGUUUGGGAUGGUGUUCCAUGAGCAGCCACCGAACACAAGCAGUGCA